ensembl:lncRNA
GAAGUUACAGCAGCGGGUCAGAGAAUUCUGGCAAGGUGGCGGUGACGUGGAAACACAGCAAACUCAGAAUGCAAUUCCCCUGGAACUAAUCUCCAGAGACAAAGUAGACUCCGGUGAAGUGGAGCAAGUCUGCAGGAUUGAAGCUCAGAUAACUCAUCUGCCCACCUCUGAGCAUAAUCGUGCAAAUGUUAUUUGCCGU